CAGGAACACCUUCCACUAGACCAGGUUGCUCAGAGCCCCAUCCAGCCUGGGCUCAAACACUUCCAGGGAUGGAGAGUCCACACCUCUCUGGGCCAAUUAAUGUUGUUGGAGAGAAAUAGUUAUUUAUUUGCAUCCAUUCCUUUCCCUGCUUUUGCAAAACAGAAGUUGCUUUGAACUCAAUGUUCAUGAAUCUCAAUGUUUUGAUUCCACGUCACCAAGAAGCUGCAGUUUCGUGCCCUGGAGUCAGGAGACAUGUAUAGGGUUUUUUUCCCAUUGAAAUUAAAUGUUAAAUUUUUAAAAUAAAUUAUCCUGCAAGAUAUGUAUCUGAAUUCAGGGAAUCAGGGUGUCAUACAAUGUGCAUAAUCAACCCAGUACUCAAGUAGUAACUCAUGCUGUUGGUAUUGCCUCUGUUUUAGUAACUCCUCAUUUCCUCGUGACCAAUGAAUGCCAAAGGUUUGCUUGAAUCUGUGUCACUGUCAUGGGGCUGUUGCAUGUGGUGUCCCUUAACUGAGCUGAGUUUGUGACAAGUGUCUGUGCCUUUGUCUUCUUCUGAGAAGAAAUGAGCAACUUUCUCAGCUCGGGCCAUAUUGAAAGUAUUGUGAUCAUAUAUAUAUAAAAUUAUAUCAUUAUAUAUAAAUUUCUUUAUUCUGCAGCCCUUUUGGGGCACACAGCUGCUUCUCUCCAGGAUUCUACCACUAAUGGCCCCUUCCAAAGUCACACUUGUGUUUGGCACUUGAUUGCUCUGGUUGAAAACUAUCCUGUAGGAUUUGUUGGCAGUUAAAUCGGGUCUUGGGCCGCUGUGUCUUCCCUGACAACUGAUGGAUGUUUUUCUUCCUUCCACCUUCUCUGCAGUGACACAGUUGCUGAGGGAAGGUUGGUAACGGUGCCAGUGCUCAGGGGGCUGUAUUUUUGGAAUGAGCGCUUCGGUGGUUACUGCAUUUAGCAGAGGGAGAUACUUCACACCGGGAGAGAGGCACGAAUGCCAGGAGAAUGAGUCUGUGCCUCAGCCAGGCUGACUUACAGGGUCUCCUGUGAGCUGUCAGCAAGCUUUUUUCGGAAAACUUGAGUGUAAAUAAUCACCAACCAGUACAAACAGAACAGGUCUCCAAAGUCUGGUGAGACUGAGAUACUUUGAUUUAUAGCUGUGUGUUGUGGUUCCAUGUCAUUGCUGUGUUUGUGAGUCCAGCCCUGCUAUUGUGCAAAGAUUUGCCAGUGAAGUGACUGAAGGCAGGAGGGGCCUCUGGCACUCCAUGAGCUUGAGAACAGCUUGUGCCUCCCUUGGCAGUCGUCAUUUCAGAAAUGUUCACUUUAUGCUGUUGUGUUCUUGCAUAUGUCGGAGUCGUAACUCAUUUACUUAAAAUAGAGAACUUCAGGAGUCAUAAUUAAACUCUGUGAGCUCUUUCUAUCCUGUUCUAACAACCUUUCUCGUCACCAACUGGCAGAUGGAGUUUAAGUUGAUCCCUCUUCUCCUGGAAGCAACAAGUUAAAAUAUUUGUAAAUGCAAUUGAAUGUUUACAGCUACAGUACAGUAAUUAAAACCUUACUGACACAAAGAGGAGUCCUUGGCAAGAGUCCUUUUCAAUAACUGGAUGCAAAAAUUGUCACCUCAGGUUUGUUUCCUAAGGGUAUGUCUUGGGUGAUUUUUUUUUUUACCUGUACCAGUGGAGCCUUCCCAUUUCUUUGUGUCUGGUGUGAGCAUCCUGGUUUGAUAAUCUGGGGACAAGUUGCCAGUCAGCCCAGGCCUUUCUCCAGAGUCACAGAGCACUCCAAGCAGACACAGACACCCUGCAUCCCAAAGACCCAGACCCUGUGCACAUCCUGGAGGGGCAAGAUUGCUUCCCCUGUUGGGUUUUUGUGGUAGAAGCGUGAGAGAGAGAGAGGAGGGGAAAAAAAUAAACCACUGAAGGAGAAUAACCUUGUUUGACUUUCAGUAGCUGGCUCAGGAACAGAACUUUCAGAAGGGGGGAGGAGUUGAGUGCAUUUAAACAAAAACCAAACAAGGCCUCUACAUGCCUUUGUGCUGGCUUCCCUGUGUCUCUCAAGGAACUCGUGAGACAUCCCCAAUGCCAUGAAGAGUCUUCAGACAAAUCCAGCAUUUAUCAAAUUUAAAAUUCUUCUGAUGGUUUAGUUUCUUCAUCUUUUACUUGCUUCAUGAGAGCCUAGGAAAAUGUUUAUUAUUUAAGAUUUCUUUCCAUGAUAAACAAUUGUAUGUAAAUGUUUAGAAUUUUGCUGCAUAUCAGCCUAAGGAGGAAAAGCUGCUGAAGAGGGAGCAGGUUUUGCUGCAGGUACUAAUCCAUGGAAAUGUGGCUCUCCUGGUUACUUUUUGCCCUUGUGUGGAGAAGAAUCAAAACUAUGAUCAAGGUUUGUGGCACACAUCGAGGUUUGUGGCACAGAAAUCAGGUACUGUGUUGUCUUUCAGGCUGGUUUAAAUUAAGCUGGCACUGAAAUCGCUGCGAGAAGCUUCCUGCUAAAAAUACAUCAACAUCCUUUCAUUUCAAGUGCAUUCACUUCAGCAGUCGGUUUCGAUUUUGGAGAUUCCUGGCAGAUUCCUGAGGGAAAGGCGCUAAUGGGUUUGGUGAUGUUGAUGGAACUCGGGAUUCCAGAGCUUUACUGCAGUUUUAUUUGUCUCUUGAUGGUGGUUUCUUGUUUGUCAAAGCACAGCCUUGUCUAAUGCGUUAAUGUUCCUACCUCAAGCUGAGUGUCUGCAGUUUUCUAGAGAAGAAAACUCUCAUUUUGCUAUUGUAAAUAAUGUUUUGCUAUUGUAAAUUUUAUUGCUGAUUUUAUUUUUUUUAAAUUGAAAACAUGGCUUUACCUUCCAUUACAGGGAGCCUGUUUGUCAGGUAGACCUUCUUACCAGUCUUUUUCCUGACAGUGAGGAGGUCACUCUUUGCUUUGGUUGUGCCUGUAAUCAUGGUUGUGCUCUUGCUUAAAUUACUCCUUUUCAGAGUCUCUGCUAUUUCAAAGGCCAGUGCAGUUACUUUGCCUGCAUGUAAUUCCACAUUAUGUUGUCAGCAUGGUUAUACAGCUUUGCAAAUUUUCGAGAGCUGAUGGGCAUUAGCUACAGUUCAUUAUCCAAAGUAAACAGCUCGUUAGUGUACAGUGGAGAGCUUCUAUAGAAGACAAAAAUAAACCCAAAAGUGAGUGUAUCCAUUUACUCGGCUUUAGUUGUUAUGCUGUGUCCCUGCCUGUGUUCAUUCCCCCAGCACUCCUUUCUGAGGAUACACUUGUCCUCUGGGCUCCUUUCGUUUACAGUCCUUAUCUGUAAAUGGCUCUUGCUGAGGGCAUAGCAGUAGUUUCCCAAACCUCACCAGCUUCUGUGCAGCACUAACAAGUGAGUGAUGUGCUGCUGGCAACAAAGUACUUCACUCUCCUUCAGUGGUUUCAGUCUUAAUUUCCUCGGGCAGCACGUUAUUCCUGCAGGGAAGACUGCAGCACCAUUAGCUUCGGGUGUUUCUCCUCCAGCUCUAGAGACAGAUGGUGCCUUCCCUACACUGCUGUGAACAGGAAGGAUUUCUCUGCUUUGUUGUUGAAGGCACAGUUGUGUGCAUAGGCUCCUCUUGGAGCUGCUGGAAAUGCCCCUGUGGAGCUAUUUCCACGGCACCAGUGACUGUUCCCAUCUGACAGCAUGCCCUGUUGUCUUCCUGGGGCAUGUUUUGAGGUGUGGCAGCAGCAGCCCAGCGUUUCCCUUUGCAGGGCCUGAUCUGUUUCCAGGUGGUUGCCAUGUGAGGGUACUGGACCCACUCUGCUGUCUCAGGGGCUCCAUCGGCUGCGAUCCCUGGUGGAAUGAACCAAUUCCCUAAGAGCCCCAUCUGUCCCUGGAGCUCUGAAACAGCAUCACAUGUUUACUGCAGUUUCAAGUUUCUCCUCUAGAGAAAACAGGGUCGUUUAAGCAUUUUCUGAUCCAGACAAGUGCAAACACCUCGAGAAGAUCAUGUACCAAGCCUACAGCGACUGGGAGUGACGCUCCCAAAAGCGAUCUCGGCAGGGCUCCCAUUUCCUGCUGCCAGCAUGGCUCGUUUGAGAUAUCGGUGCCACAGCAAGUGCUGGGUAAACAAGAGGAUUGUUUCUGCUGGAUGAUAUCAAAGCCCUCCCAACUGUCUGCUGAAAAUACUUGUCCAUUGCAAGGAAAUGACUGUUUGUUUGUGUUAGGAGUCAGGAAUGGGAAAUGACGUGAACACUUAACUGUUUUUCCUGCUGUUUCUAGGAGGCAUAUUCGCUGUCUUGGGUUUUAUUUCCAAAGGCAUUCAGUGUUUUCUG